rnacentral:rRNA from 1 species
UACGUAGGGGGCAAGCGUUGUCCGGAUUUAUUGGGCGUGAAGAGCGUGUAGGCGGCCAGAUAGGUCAGCUGUGAAAACUCGAGGCUCAACCUCGAGAUGUCGGCUGAAACCAUCUGGCUAGAGUCCGGAAGAGGAGAAUGGAAUUCCCGGUGUAGCGGUGAAAUGCGCAGAUAUCGGGAAGAACACCCGUGGCGAAGGCGGUUCUCUGGGACGGUACUGACGCUGAGACGCGAAAGCGUGGGGAGCGAACAGG